rnacentral:tRNA from 3 species
UCCGCCAUAGCUCAGUUGGUAGUAGCGCAUGACUGUUAAUCAUGAUGUCGUAGGUUCGAGCCCUACUGGCGGAG